UCUUUCUGUGAAACUUGGCUUUGAUAGCAUGAAAACUAGAAGAGUACUUAUAUGACUUUCAUGCCUGUCCAGUCUUGAAAGAAAAACACUAAAGCUUUUCAUACUUGGCAGCACUGUAUCUGCUAUGACAGUGUAUAUUUUCACUUACAUUAUAAUUCAGACGUCCUUCCUCUUCUUGGAAGUUCCUGGGAUAUUCAGGCUCUCAGAACUUGUUCCAGGAGUCUCCUUGAAUGGAUUUGAUUGCUUUUCAGAGCUGCUUUAGUUAGUCUUUUUCUCUUCUCCUUAAUUCAUAGUCCUUGGAAACCAUAAGAGCCACAAGCCUCUGAUGUUACCUGAUCUUCACACACAGUCCUAGUGAUGAACCGCAUCAACCAGUUCUUAAGUUCAGGUGUUCAGUACUUACAGUGAUUGCUUCAGACGCUUCACACUGCUCCCUCUGGAGCAUGACUAGUUCCUUUCUACUUCCUUACUACUCACAUAGGCAAUUAAAAUUCACACCACUUUUUCUGUCUCGGCUGCAUCCACCUCCUUUACCUCUUGUGACGUACCCGCUGUGGUGUUCACCAAGCCAUCCUAAACUUUCAUAGUGGCCUACAUCCUAAACCAGCACCUGACGGUCGACACCUUCACCACACCAAAGCAUCAGCAGCCACUUUUGUAAUCCCUUUGGAAUGCAGCGGUCAUGGUUCCUAUGUGACUAAUGACUUAAUAGUGUCACAGGUGUUUUUCCUAGCUCAGUUCCACCCACCUAUCAUCCAAAAUGGUCAAAAUAUUUUAUUCCUUCUUUUCCAUAGUUUCAUGGCCUUGAAAUUGCCCUUCAGUUUUCCAACUUUCCAGUGUAAACCUAAACUUACAUUUUUCUUGCCUCCUCAAUAAUUUGUUGUUUGUGUAUUGUGCUAUCAUGACCUCUGAUUAGCCUUAUUGCACCUUAAACUCAUGUUGUUGCUAGUCUUUUCUAGAAAGUAUAAGUUCCACAAAAACAUUGCAGAAUCCUAUCUACGAGUCUGUAUCCCAGUAGGCACACAUUUAAUUAGAUGUGUUAACUUUAUGCACAUGUGAAGUGUUGCAAGGGAAGGGUGUUGCCUUUCUUUAAUUCCCCUAGACGUUCACCAGAUUCUGUCAUUUCUGCAGUGCAAUUUGCUUGACUUCACCUGAAUCUGGUUGUUUUCACUCAUUUAAAAAGAAGUUGAAAUUCUGAGUCAAAGUCUGUCCUUAAGCUUGAACUUCCAUCAUUUGGUCUUUGUUCCUGCAAGUUUUAAGGAACAUCAGGAGAAAAUCUGUGGGCUAUUUGUACAACUUCCCUGUAGCUAUGUGGUUAUGCAGCCAAUAUAAUGAUGUACUAAUGUCAUGUGUCUGGCACUGGUAAGUUAGAUGGCUGCUGGUGCCCUCCUCAAGUACUUUUGCAGGGUAUAGGUACAAGGCAGGUUCUGCAGUCCAAAGUACAAUAGAGCAGUAGCAUGACUUCUCAUUCACUUCAUCUACACAGUUCAUUUUUCAGUCAGAGAUUGACUUAGUGUUGCAUAAUUAUCAUAAAGUAAAUCACUUAAUGGGCUACACCUAGCUCACUUGUUCCAGGAAUCUUGCUUUUAGCUUCUGCUUCCCCACAAACUAUUUAAUCACCUGCCAGGUAGAGUUGCAUUGAAAGAACAUCUACUGUUACACAUACUGUUUAGCAACAGGAAUUCAAGAUGUGGAAUUCAUAAAUUAAGUUAAUUAUGCAAUUUUUAAAGGAAGGCUAAGGCACCUUUUAUUAAGAUGAGCCUUUUUGCUACCAUUUUUGGCCCUCACAACAGUCAAACAAAUUUGGAUGCAUUCUUUGCUCGCACCAGUUUUUUCACGUCUGUGUCUGCACCUAUCUGCCAUUAAAAGUUUAACGAAGGUAUACUGAACUUGAUCUCAACAUUACUGGACUCCGUAUUUAAUAUAUUAUUUGCUGAUAGAGGUGGCUUCCUAACACACAAACUAUAGUGAUAAAUUCUAGUUUUUCCAGAGUUAAAAUACCCCCUGACCUAAGAUUACUCUCCCUCUGAUUCGCGAAGAGUAUCAGUGAGUACAAAACAGCAGCAUGCAAAAAGAACCUCGUGUACGUUGAACUGGGCAAUUAUCCUAACAUUUCUACCAAGUUGCUCUCAUGCUGGACGUCAUCCAAAUUGCUUUUCCUGUGCCUCACUUGGCCACUGUGAUUUGGCAGAAAAGAAAAAUGUCAUGAUACUUACUCAUUAUUGCUAAAAAGACUGGCCAAAACUGUGUAAAACAUGCACUUAAUCCUAGCUACUUUCUAGUAUCAUGAUUGCAAUGAAAGGAAACACUACUUUGCAAUUGCACUGUGUAAGGCUUUGAAUGUGUAAAAACAUGUUUAUAUUUGUGUAGAAACAGCCAGAGUCAGAAGUAAUGAUUUCCAAACAAAAGCAGACACAAGUCAAGCAAACAGUCUCUGAGUAGAAGGAGAAAUUAACAAGCAGAUGCUUGGAGCCCGUCUCAAAAGGAUUGCAGGAUCAUAAUUCCAGUACAUACAGUCUGCAUUCACUUCUGCAAAUACAAAUGGACAGUCGUAGUCCAGAUCUACGUCUCCUUCUUUGACGGCAUUCCUUGAAGCAGGACCACACUGAUAAAUUCCUAUGACAUCAAGAAAAUAGACCUUAGAACUAACUGAUGGUUUUAAACAUUACUCCUGGAAUGAAAUCUGUGUACCUCCACUUUCUUCUUGGGGAGUUGCAUCCAGAAUUUGCCAUCCGCUGUAUGAAGGGCCCAAGUCACUGCGGGA